rnacentral:rRNA from 1 species
AAAGCGUGCGCAGGCGGUUUUGUAAGUUUGUCGUGAAAUCCCCGGGCUCAACCUGGGAAUGGCGAUGAAGACUGCAAGGCUAGAAUCUGGCAGAGGGGGGUAGAAUUCCACGUGUAGCAGUGAAAUGCGUAGAGAUGUGGAGGAACACCGAUGGCGAAGGCAGCCCCCUGGGUCAAGAUUGACGCUCAUGCACGAAAGCGUGGGGAGCAAACAGGAUUAGAUACCCCGGU